GGGGUUAAUUUAAUAAAUAAUAAAUAUGAAAAAAAAUUUUAAUAUAAUAUAUUUAAUGGGGGUUAAAGUAUUUUUAUAGAAAAAAUUUAAAAAUUUAUAGUGAAAUAGUAUUGUGAAAGAAAAAUUGAAAAUAUUGAAAUAAAAAUUUAUUUAAAAGUAAAUUUUAUUUAUUGUAUCUUGUGUAUCAGAGUUUUUUAAAAAAAAAAAUUGGGUAAAUUUAUUUCGAAAUUUAAAGAGUUAAUUAAUUAAAAAAGUUAAUAUUGCAUAAUUAUUUUAAAUAAUUAAUUGGAAAUGAAAAGUUAAUCGUUUUGAAUGAUAUCUAAUUUUUUUAGAAAAAAGUUUAAUUUUAAAUAAAUUUUAAAAAUAAUUAAUUAAUUAAUUAUUUUUAAAAUUUAAUUUUAUAUUUUAGGGGAUAAGCUUUAAAUUAGAAUUUUAUAAUAAAAGUAAAAAAAAUUGAAAUUUUUAAAAUUUAUAUUUUUUAUAAAUUAUAGUUUAUUAUCAAUAAUUUCAUUUAAUUAAAAUUUUAUUUUAAUUUAAAUUUUUAUAAAAAAAUAUUUUUUAAUUUAAUAAAAAUAGGUAUAAUGAUAAAAUUAGUAUAUAAUUUAUAAAUAAAAUAAAAAUUAUUUAAAUUAAUAAAAAGGAAUUCGGCAAAAAU
rnacentral:rRNA from 1 species